GGAUAUUGCGCAAUGGGGGAAACCCUGACGCAGCAACGCCGCGUGGAGGAUGACGGUUUUCGGAUUGUAAACUCCUUUUAUGAGGGACGAACUAAGACGGUACCUCAUGAAUAAGCUCCGGCUAACUACGUGCCAGCAGCCGCGGUAAUACGUAGGGAGCAAGCGUUGUCCGGAUUUACUGGGUGUAAAGGGUGCGUAGGCGGCUAGGCAAGUCAGGUGUGAAAUGCAUGGGCUCAACCCAUGAACUGCACUUGAAACUGUUUAGCUUGAGUGAAGUAGAGGCAGGCGGAAUUCCCUGUGUAGCGGUGAAAUGCGUAGAGAUAGGGAGGAACACCAGUGGCGAAGGCGGCCUGCUGGGCUUUAACUGACGCUGAGGCACGAAAGCGUGGGUAGCAAACA
rnacentral:rRNA from 1 species